rnacentral:rRNA from 1 species
UACGUAGGGGGCAAGCGUUGUCCGGAAUCAUUGGGCGUAAAGCGCGUGUAGGCGGCCCGAUAAGUCCGCUGUGAAAGUCCAGGGCUCAACCCUGGAAUGCCGGUGGAUACUGUCGGGCUCGAGUCCGGAAGAGGCGAGUGGAAUUCCUGGUGUAGCGGUGAAAUGCGCAGAUAUCAGGAGGAACACCGAUGGCGAAGGCAGCUCGCUGGGACGGUACUGACGCUGAGACGCGAAAGCUAGGGGAGCAAACAGG